rnacentral:rRNA from 1 species
AUCGAACGCUGGCGGCAGGCCUAACACAUGCAAGUCGAGCGAGCGUCGCACGGGUGAGUAACGCCUGUGAAAAAGCCUGACGGAGGGGGAUAACUACUGGAAACGGUAGCUAAUACCGCAGACCAUCAGAUGUGCACAGAUGGGAUUAGCUAGUGGGUGGGGUAACGGCGCACAUAGGCGAGGAUACCUAGCUGGUCUGAGAGAUGGACCAGCCACAUUGGACUUGAGACACGGCCCAGCCGCGUCCGGGAGGCAGAGGUGGGGAAGAUUGGACAAUGGGCGAAAGCGGGAUGCGUCCAUGCGGCGGGUGGGAGGAAGGCCUCCGGGUUGUAAAGCCCGUUAAGCGGGGAGACGUUACCCGAAGAGAAAGCAACGGCUAACUACGUGCCAGCAGCCGCGGUAAUUC